UGCUUCUUUCAGCAGUACUACACUAAAAUUGGAAUAUAUACAACACUAUCAUAGCCCCUGCACAGGGAUGACAUGCAAAUCCAUGAAGAAGCCCAUAUUUUU